UGCUUUGGGCAGCAGGCAGUGGACAAAGUGAACCCUGGAGCGACGAACCAUGUCAAUCAGAGCGUCCUAAAAACAGAAAGGACAUGACUGUGACAUCAGCGUCUGCUUGCUGUCAAGCCGUAGUAGCUGAACAGUCUCUCCAGCAUCGUUUCCUCUGAACCUCCAGGCUGAACAGCCUCCUCCUCCAUCAGCCACAGAAGUCCCCGAGCCUCGUCCUUCCUGGCCAAGGUGCGAACCUGUGAUGGAUGUGGACAGUCACUAAUUUUUUCCGAGCUGGUGAUGACUGUGGGGAGUCAUUUGUAUCCAGGAAGGAUGCCCACUUGCUUCUAUUGGAAGUGCCAAAAUCUGGGCUCUUGAAAAUAGAUGUGUUAAAGCGCCAUCUGGUGACACUGUGGAUUUAUACAUGCUAAAUCUACUCCGUGUGUUACGGGGCCGUGAUCGCUAACAGUGGAUCGCUGAAUAGAAAAUACUUGGUAUGAUGUAAUUUCUGUGAGGAAGUCAUCAACACAUGAAUAUGAAUGGUGCUCCAGGGAGAAGCGUUAACACAUUCUGUGCAGAAACCUCUUUUUUGUCUUCCUUUUUUAUCUUAUGAAAACAUGUUUAUCUUAUCCACUUUAUU